UGUACAACUCUGAGCGGUAGAUCACUCGGCUCGUGUGUCGAUGAAGAGCGCAGCCAACUGUGUGAAUUAAUGUGAACUGCAUACUGCUUUGAACAUCGACAUCUUGAACGCAUAUUGCGGCCAUGGGUUAGCCUGUGGCCACGCCUGUCCGAGGGUCGGCU
rnacentral:rRNA from 1 species